AUCCAGCUGACAGGUCUCAAAUAGAAUGAAACGCGCGUUCUGGAU
rnacentral:hammerhead_ribozyme from 1 species